UCAGAAUCCGAUCCGAAUUGGUUUUCUUCCUCUUCUUUAUAUAUUCAAUCUCCCCCUGUUUUUCUCCCUCUCACUUUACUCUUUGCCUAAACUAUUCAUACCCGUAGCAGAUAUGGACGGGAAUCCUCCAGGUAAGAUCAAUAUGCGGACUCGUUAAAAAAGGUAGGAACUGGAACGGGUCAGAUUAUGUAUGUAGCAUCAGCUGUAUUCUCCCAUGCAGGAUUCUUAUUCAUUUGAGCAAGGGCGUAUUCGCUGCCUAUAGACAUUUUGAAAUGAUAAGUCGGUCAAUUUCAUCCGUUAAUCACGAUGGUAUUAUCUUAGCUCCACUGAACAUCAUAUCUCCAUCAACAUUACAAACAUGAACGUUAGUAAUAGCUUCCGGCUGGUAAGCAAGAGUUUCUCACCUUAUCCUAUAUUCUUUUCAUCUUAAUUCUUAAGCUAUCGAGUCGAGAAUAUAUUACUACUGAUUUUUACAUUUGUAAUAUGUAGUAUGAACUUUCUUCCAACUGUUGUUGUAUCGUUACUGGUCUUUAAAUGGAUGCUUAAUCGAUACGACUUAUAUAAAUGAAAUUAUUGAUGUAAAUAAAUACUUUCUUGUGUUUUUUUUGUUGGAA